rnacentral:rRNA from 1 species
AGACGGGACCCGCACAAGCGGUGGAUGAUGUGGUUUAAUUCGAUGCAACGCGAAAACCUUACCCACCUUUGACAUGGCAGGAAUCCCGAAGAGAUUUGGGAGUGCUCGAAAGAGAACCUGCACACAGGUGCUGCAUGGCUGUCGUCAGCUCGUGUCGUGAGAUGUUGGGUUAAGUCCCGCAGCGAGCGCAACCCUUGUCAUUAGUUGCUACAUUCAGUUGGGCACUCUAAUGAGACUGCCGGUGACAAACCGGAGGAAGGUGGGGAUGACGUCAAGUCCUCAUGGCCCUUAUAGGUGGGGCUACACACGUCAUACAAUGGAUGGUACAAAGGGUCGCCAACCCGCGAGGGGGAGCCAAUCCCAUAAAGCCAUUCGUAGUCCGGAUCGCAGUCUGCAACUCGACUGCGUGAAGUCGGAAUCGCUAGUAAUCGUGAAUCAGAAUGUCACGGUGAAUACGUUCCCGGGUCUU